rnacentral:rRNA from 1 species
GACGAACGCUGGCGGCGUGCUUAACACAUGCAAGUCGAACGGUGACGGAGAGCUUGCUCUCCUGAUCAGUGGCGAACGGGUGAGUAACACGGUGGGCAACCUGCCCAGACUUCGGGAUAACGCUUCGAAAGAGGUGCUAAUACCGAAUACGAACCUCCCUGGCAUCUGGGAGGUUGGAAAGUUUUUCGGUCUGGGAUGGGCCCGCGGCCUAUCAGCUUGUUGGUGAGGUAACGGCUCACCAAGGCGACGACGGGUAGCCGGCCUGAGAGGGCGACCGGCCACACUGGGACUGAGACACGGCCCAGACUCCUACGGGAGGCAGCAGUGGGGAAUAGUGCGCAAUGGGCGAAAGCCUGACGCAGCAACGCCGCGUGAGGGAU